rnacentral:rRNA from 1 species
AGCAGUCGCCGCGGUAAUACGAAGGGGGCUAGCGUUGUUCGGAAUUACUGGGCGUAAAGCGCACGUAGGCGGAUAUUUAAGUCAGGGGUGAAAUCCCGCAGCUCAACUGCGGAACUGCCUUUGAUACUGGGUAUCUUGAGUAUGGAAGAGGUGAGUGGAAUUCCGAGUGUAGAGGUGAAAUUCGUAGAUAUUCGGAGGAACACCAGUGGCGAAGGCGGCUCACUGGUCCAUUACUGACGCUGAGGUGCGAAAGCGUGGGGAGCAAACAGGAUUAGAUACCCCAGUAGUCCCUGUCUCUUAUAC